UAAAAACCCCGACUUCGGAAGGGGUGUAUUUAUUAGAUACAAAACCGAUGCCCUUCGGGGCUCUUUGGUGAUUCAUGAUAACUAUACGAAUCGCACGGCCUUGCGCCGGCGAUGGUUCAUUCAAAUUUCUUCCCUAUCAACUUUCGAUGUUUGGGUAUUGGCCAAACAUGGUUGCAACGGGUAACGGAGGGUUAGGGCUCGACCCCGGAGAAGGAGCCUGAGAAACGGCUACUACAUCCAAGGAAGGCAGCAGGCGCGCAAAUUACCCAAUCCCGACUCGGGGAGGUAGUGACAAUAAAUACUGAUACAGGGCCCUUUCGGGCCUUGUAAUUGGAAUGAGUACAAUUUAAAUCCCUUAACGAGGAACAGUUGGAGGGCAAGUCUGGUGCCAGCAGCCGCGGUAAUUCCAGCUCCAAUAGCGUAUAUUAAAGUUGUUGUGGUUAAAAAGCUCGUUGUUGAACCUUGGGCCUGGCUGGCCGGUCCGCCUCACCGCGUGCACUGGUCCGGCCGGGCCUUUCCCUCUGUGGAACCCCAUACCCUUCACUGGGCGUGGCGGGGAAACAGGACAUUUACUUU
rnacentral:rRNA from 1 species